rnacentral:rRNA from 1 species
GACGAACGCUGGCGGCGUGCUUAACACAUGCAAGUCGAACGGAAAGGCCCUGCUUUUGUGGGGUGCUCGAGUGGCGAACGGGUGAGUAACACGUGAGUAACCUGCCCUUGACUUUGGGAUAACUUCAGGAAACUGGGGCUAAUACCGGAUAGGAGCUCCUGCUGCAUGGUGGGGGUUGGAACGUUUCGGCGGUUGGGGAUGGACUCGCGGCUUAUCAGCUUGUUGGUGGGGUAGUGGCUUACCAAGGCUUUGACGGGUAGCCGGCCUGAGAGGGGGGCCGGCGACAUGGGGACUGAGGGACGGACCAGACUCGUACGGGAGGCAGCGGUGGGGAGUAUUGCACAGUGGGGGGGAGCGUGAGGAGAAAACGCCGGGAGCGGAAAGAAGGCCAUGGGGGGGGAAAGCGCAGUAGGCUGAGACGAAGCGGGAGUGACGGUAAUAAGUAAAGAAGCACCGGCUAACUACGUG